GGUGAGAUGGCCGAGUUGGUUAUGGCGUCAGGUUAAGGUCCUGGUGGAGCAAUCCUCCUGGGUUCGAGUCCCAGUCUCAUCA